rnacentral:piRNA from 1 species
UCCUUUGGCAACACCCUCACAGACACACCCAU